rnacentral:rRNA from 1 species
CCUGAUCCAGCCAUGCCGCGUGAGUGAUGAAGGCCCUAGGGUCGUAAAGCUCUUUCGCCUGUGAAGAUAAUGACGGUAGCAGGUAAAGAAACCCCGGCUAACUCCGUGCCAGCAGCCGCGGUAAUACGGAGGGGGUUAGCGUUGUUCGGAAUUACUGGGCGUAAAGCGCACGUAGGCGGAUCGGAAAGUUGGGGGUGAAAUCCCGGGGCUCAACCCCGGAACUGCCUCCAAAACUAUCGGUCUAGAGUUCGAGAGAGGUGAGUGGAAUUCCGAGUGUAGAGGUGAAAUUCGUAGAUAUUCGGAGGAACACCAGUGGCGAAGGCGGCUCACUGGCUCGAUACUGACGCUGAGGUGCGAAAGUGUGGGGAGCAAACAGGAUUAGAUACCCUGGUAGUCCACACCGUAAACGAUGAAUGCCAGUCGUCGGGUAGCAUGCUAUUCGGUGACACACCUAACGGAUUAAGCAUUCCGCCUGGG